rnacentral:rRNA from 1 species
AGUGAACGCUGGCGGUAGGCCUAACACAUGCAAGUCGAACGGCAGCACAGUAAGAGCUUGCUCUUACGGGUGGCGAGUGGCGGACGGGUGAGGAAUACAUCGGAAUCUACUUUUUCGUGGGGGAUAACGUAGGGAAACUUACGCUAAUACCGCAUACGACCUACGGGUUAAAGCAGGGGAUCUUCGGACCUUGCGCGAUUGAAUGAGCCGAUGACGGAUUAGCUAGUUGGCGGGGUAAAGGCCCACCAAGGCGACGAUCCGUAGCUGGUCUGAGAGGAUGAUCAGCCACACUGGAACUGAGACACGGUCCAGACUCCUACGGGAGGCAGCAGUGGGGAAUAUUGGACAAUGGGCGCAAGCCUGAUCCAGCCAUGCCGCGUGGGUGAAGAAGGCCUUCGGGUUGUAAAGCCCUUUUGUUGGGAAAGAAAAGCAGCAGGUUAAUACCCCGCUGUUCUGACGGUACCCAAAGAAUAAGCACCGGCUAACUUCGUG